UUGAAGAGUUUGAUCAUGUCUCAGAUUCAACGCUGGCGGCAAGUCUAACACAUGCAAGUCAAGCGGCAGCAGAAAAAAGCUUGCUUCCUUGCCGGCGAGCGGCGGACAGGUGAGUAAGGUAUAGGGAUCUGGCCGAAGGCGGGGGAUAAACACUGGAAACGGUGGCUAAUACCGCAUAAUCUCUAAGAAGCAAAGUGGGAAACCAUUCUGGUCUCACAUCUUCGGAUAAACCCAUAUGAGAUUAGCUAGUAGGUAGGUAAUUGCUCACCUAGGCGACGAGCUCUAGCUGGUCUGAGUAGAUGAUCAACCACACUAAAAUUAAGACACGGCCCAGACUCCUACGGGGAGGCAGCAGUGGGAAAUAUUGCACAAUGAGCGUAAGCCUGAUGCAGCCAUGCCGCGUGUAUGAAGAAAACCUUCGGGUUAUAAAGUACUUUCAGUCGUGAGGAAAGUGUUAAGGUUAAUAACCUUGGCAAUUGACGUUAGCGACAGAAGAAGCACCGGCUAACUUCGUGCCAGCAGCCCCAGUAAUACGCAGGGUGCGAGCGUUAAUCAGAAUUACUGGGCGUAAAAGGCACGCAGGCGGUUAAUUAAGUUGGAUGUGAAAUCCCGGGGCUUAACCUGGGAAUAACAUUCAAGAUUCGUUAGCUAGAGUCUUGUAGAAGGCGUAAAAUUCCAUGUGUAGCGGUCAAAUGCGUAAAGAUGUGGAGGAAUACCGGUGGCGAAGGCGCGGGGGGCCCCCUGGAAAAAGACUGAUGCUCAUGUGCGAAAGCGUGGGAAGCAAACAGGAUUAGAUACCCUGGUAGUCCACGCUGUAAACGAUGUCGAUUUGGAGGUUGUCGUCAUAAACUGUAGCCUGCGGAGCUAACGCGUUAAAUCAACCUCCUGGGGGAGGGUACGGCCGCAAGGUUAAAACUCAAAUAAAUUGACGGGAAGCCCCCACAAGCGGUGGGGCAUGUGGUUUAAUUCGAUGCAACGCGAAGAAUCUUACCUACUACUCUUGACAUCCAGCAAAUCCUUUAGAGAUGGACGAGUGCCUUUGGGAGCGCUGAGACAGGUGCUGCAUGGCUGUCGUCAUGCUCGUGUUGUGAAAUGUUGGGUUAAGUCCCGCAACGAGCGUAACCCUUAUCCUUUGUUGCCAGCGAUUCGGUCGGGAACUCAAAGGAGACUGCCGGUGAUAAGCCGGAGGAAGGUGGGGAUGACGUCAAGUCAUCAUGGCCCUUACGAGUAGGGCUACACACGUGCUACAAUUGCGUAUACAGAGAGAAGCGAGCCAGCGAAAGGAAGCGGAACUCAGAAAGUACGUCGAAGUCCGGAUUGGAGUCUGCAACUCGACUCCAUGAAGUCGGAAUCGCUAGUAAUCGCGGAUCAGCACGUCGUGGUGAAUACGUUCCCGGGCCUUGUACAAAAAGCCCGUCACACCAUGGGAGUAGGUUGCAAAAGAAGUAAGUAGCUUAACCUUUUUGGUUGGCGCUUACCACUUUGUGAUUCAUGACUGGGGUGAAGUCGUAACAAAGUAACCAUAGGGGAACCUAGGGUUGGAUCACCUCCUU
rnacentral:rRNA from 1 species